AUGGUCGCAGCCCUUCAAGAUUCUCAACGGUGGUGUCUCGGCACUGAUGGCGGAGUCGACGGCGAGCAUAGGCGGGCUACUCGUAGGACCCUUGUAGGAGACCAUCCUCAAGAUCGACGAGAAGAUGAGGUCUGGACCCUUGUAGGAGACCAUCCUCAAGCAGCGCCAGAUGAAUUGGAUAAUGUGCUCUUUUUUGUUUGCAAAAUGAAGGACGCUACAUCCAGAAGUUAUGGUUGUGUUGUUUCUUAG
rnacentral:rRNA from 1 species